rnacentral:lncRNA from 1 species
CCCGAGUCGCUGGGACUACAGGCACCCACCACCACUCCCGGCUAAAUUUUGUGUUUUUAGUAGAGACGGGGUUUCACCAUGUUGGCCAGGAUGGUCUCGAUCUCUUGACCUCGUGAUCCACCUCCCUGGGCUUCCCAAAGUGCUAGGAUUACAGGCGUGAGCCACUGAGCCGGGUCCAAGACUAGGCUUUUCAAAUCAAAGACAAAGGAAUCAUGCAACCCUCUUACAAUUGGGAUACCAUCCUGUGCCACUUGCCAAUACUGUCUUUCCAGAAAACCAUUCAAGACACUAAAAAAAGAUCAGACAUAUGAUAAACAUACAUAAAAUGAAAAGACACCAACUGCUAUUUGACACUACUAUUGGUAAUGCCUGACAUAUGUGAAAGCACUUUUAUUUUAUUUUUUAUUUUGAGACUGAGUAGGAGAAUUGCUUGGGUGGCAGAGUAAGACUCCGUCCCAAAAAAAAAAGUUAUCUAAUCAGGGACGUCACCUUUCCCUGCCAGUCAUUUUGUUACCAAUGAAAGAAAACAUAUUCAAAUCAAUUUUUAGUUCAGAAAAUGUUUCUUUCAUUGUAUCUUUGAAUUUUAUUGUUCUGCAUUUUUUACUUCAAAAACACCUACUAUAUGCAUUUUUUCUCUCGUUUCCUUUUUUUUCCAAGAAAUGUUUUUGUCCUUUUGAUUUUUUCACUGACCAUUACCAUUAUUUAUAUACCAUGUACCUGGAGAGUUUCCAAUGUUUCUCUUUGGUCUGAGAUACUUGCUAUGAUUUUCACUUUUUAAAUGCUCUUUUGAGAUUUGUUUUGUGGCCUAAAAUGUGGUCUAUCCUGGAGAAUGUUCUGUGAGCUGAUGAGAAGAAUGCACGUUCUGCAGUUGGUGGGUGAAAUGUUCUGUAAUUACCUGUGAGGUCCCUUUGACUUCUCUUGGAGUCAGUCUGGUCUGUUACUUUUCUGCCUAGAGGGUGUGUCUGUUGCUGAAAGUGGGUGUUGGAGUCCCCAGCUAUUAUUGUCUGUCUCUGUCUGUUGCUCGAAUAACUCUUACUUUAAUAACUGGGGCUCCUGUGUCAGGUGUGUUUACAUUGACAACUGUCCUACCUUCUUGCUGAAUUGAUCUCUUUAUCGUUUUAUAAUGACCUUUAUUUUCUAUUUUUGUGCUUUUUUGACUUAAAGCCUACUUUGUGUGACAAGCAUAGCUAUACAUACUCACUUUUGGUAACACUUUUCAUUUCUUAUCAUCUUCAUUGAAUCUCACUUCUUCACAUUUACCAAAAUGUCUACUUUUGAGCUGUGGCACCUCUUUGAAUCUUCAGAUCCACCACAUGCUGAUCAAGCCUUCCUUUUUGUCUGUACUCUGAGGAAUCCCAAACAGGCAUUUUUGCAAGAAAGUCUAGGAGGGAAACAUAAAUCUAUGUGUCAAAAAAAUGAACAUAGAAAAUAAUGUGUCCUGGUUAACAAAAGUUCUCAUUGUAAAGUGUUAGGCACAAGACUAUG